rnacentral:rRNA from 1 species
CCUACGGGAGGCAGCAGUGAGGAAUAUUGGUCAAUGGCCGAGAGGCUGAACCAGCCAAGUCGCGUGAGGGAAGACGGCCCUACGGGUUGUAAACCUCUUUUGUCGGGGAGCAAAGCGAGUCACGUGUGACUCAUUGAGAGUACCCGAAGAAAAAGCAUCGGCUAACUCCGUGCCAGCAGCCGCGGUAAUACGGAGGAUGCGAGCGUUAUCCGGAUUUAUUGGGUGUAAAGGGCGUGCAGCCGGGAAGACAAGUCAGAUGUGAAAUCCCGCGGCUCAACCGCGGAACUGCAUUUGAAACUGUUUUUCUUGAGUACCGGAGAGGUCAUCGGAAUUCCUUGUGUAGCGGUGAAAUGCGUAGAUAUAAGGAAGAACACCAGUGGCGAAGGCGGAUGACUGGACGGCAACUGACGGUGAGGCGCGAAAGCGUGGGGAGCAAACAGGAUUAGAUACCCGGUAGUC